AGAGCGAACGCUGGCGGCAGGCCUAAUACAUGCAAGUCGAACGGACCCUUCGGGGUUAGUGGCGGACGGGUGAGUAACACGUGGGAACGUGCCCUUUGGUUCGGAACAACUCAGGGAAACUUGAGCUAAUACCGAAUGUGCCCCCAUCCUUAAACAAGAUGGGUGGGAAAGAUUUAUCGCCAUUGGAGCGGCCCGCGUCUGAUUAGCUAGUUGGUGAGGUAAAGGCUCACCAAGGCGACGAUCAGUAGCUGGUCUGAGAGGAUGAUCAGCCACACUGGGACUGAGACACGGCCCAGACUCCUACGGGAGGCAGCAGUAGGGAAUCUUGCGCAAUGGGCGAAAGCCUGACGCAGCCAUGCCGCGUGAAUGAUGAAGGUCUUAGGAUUGUAAAAUUCUUUCAGCGGGGACGAUAAUGACGGUACCCGCAGAAGAAGCCCGGCUAACUUCGUGCCAGCAGCCGC
rnacentral:rRNA from 1 species